rnacentral:rRNA from 1 species
GACGUAGGGCGCGAGCGUUGUCCGGAUUUAUUGGGCGUAAAGAGCUCGUAGGCGGUCUGUCGCGUCUGCUGUGAAAACCUGGGGCUUAACCCCGGGCCUGCAGUGGGUACGGGCAGACUAGAGUGCGGUAGGGGAGACUGGAAUUCCUGGUGUAGCGGUGAAAUGCGCAGAUAUCAGGAGGAACACCGGUGGCGAAGGCGGGUCUCUGGGCAACAACUGACGCUGAGGAGCGAAAGCGUGGGGAGCGAACAGG